rnacentral:rRNA from 1 species
UGGCGGAAGGGUGAGUAACACGUAAAUAAUCUGCCCUUAAGUUGGGAAUAACGACUCGAAAGAGACGCUAAUUCCGAAUGUGGAUAUAGUAUGGCAUCUUAUUAUAUCUAAAGGUGGGGACCUUCGGGCCUGCCGCUUAAGGAGGAGUUUGCGGCCUAUUAGCUAGUUGGUGGGGUAAGAGCCUACCAAGGCAAUGAUGGGUAGCCGUCCUGAGAGGGUGGUCGGCCACACUGGGACUGAGACACUGCCCAGACUCCUACGGGAGGCUGCAGUCGAGAAUCUUUCGCAAUGGGCGAAAGCCUGACGAAGCGACGCCGCGUGAGCGAUGAAGAUCUUCGGAUUGUAAAGCUCUGUCACAUGGGACGAACCGUAUGUAUGUUAAUAGCGUAUGUAUCUGACGGUACCAUGAGAGGAAGCCCCGGCUAACUUCGUGCCAGCAGCCGCGGUAAUACGAAGGGGGCAAGCGUUGUUCGGAUUUAUUGGGCGUAAAGGGCGUCUAGGUGGUUAAUUAAGUCGGAUGUGAAAUCCUUCAGCUCAACUGAAGAACUGCAUCCGAUACUGAUUAGCUUGAGUAUAGGAGAAGGGAGUGGAAUUCUCAGUGUAGCGGUGAAAUGCGUAGAUAUUGAGAAGAACACCGGUGGCGAAGGCGGCUCUCUAGCCUAAAACUGACACUAAAGCGCGAAAGCCAGGGGAGCGAACGGGAUUAGAUACCCCGGUAGUCCUGGCCGUAAACUAUGGGUACUUGGUGUAGGAGGUAUCGACCCCUUCUGUGCCGGAGUUAACACGUUAAGUACCCCGCCUGGGGAGUACGGCCGCAAGGUUGAAACUCAAAGGAAUUGACGGGGGCCCGCACAAGCGGUGGAGCAUGUGGCUUAAUACGACGCAACGCGUAGAACCUUACCAGGAUUUGACA